AGUGAACGCUGGCGGUAGGCCUAACACAUGCAAGUCGAACGGCAGCACAGUAAGAGCUUGCUCUUACGGGUGCCGGGUGGCGACCGGGUGGGGAUUACACCGGCAUCUACUUUUUAGUGGGGGAAACCGUAGGGAAACUUACAUUAAUACCUCAUCCGCCUUACGGGUGAAGGCAGGGGAUCUUCGUACCUUGUGGGCUUGAAUGAGCCGAUGUCGGAUUAGCUAGUUGGCGGGGUAAAGGCCCACCAAGGCGACGAUCCGUAGCUGGUCUGAGAGGAUGAUCAGCCACACGGGAACGGAGACACGGUCCAGACGCCUACGGUAGGCAGCAGUGGGGAAUAUUGGGCAAUGGGCGGAAGCCUGAUCCAGCCAUACCGCGUGUGAGAAGAAGGCGUCCGGGUUGGAAAGCCGGUUUGUUGGUAAAGAAAAGCAGCAGGUAAAUACCCAGCUGUUGUGACGGUACCCGAAGAAUAAGCACCGGCUAACUUCGUG
rnacentral:rRNA from 1 species